rnacentral:lncRNA from 1 species
GAACUUAGAAUUGUCAAACUAUCGACCAUUAUCGGUAAUAAUUAUCCAAGGUAAACUAAAUUGGUAUAUUAUUGAUUUUUUGACAAAAUCCUACAUCUUUUUCUCAGUAAUUUGAGGCAGAAAUUCUGCCUCCACUCACUUAGUGAAGUAGUCAAUAGCUACCAUCAAAAACUUUCUUUGACCUAUUGCCACUAGGAAAUGCCCCAAUAUAUUCAUUCUCCAAAUUGCAAAGGGCCAUGGUAUAGUAAUAGAAAUGAGUUCGACAGUAGACCGAUGUUAGAUAUUAGCAUAUCUUUGAUAUUGAUCGCUUUUGUUGACA